rnacentral:rRNA from 1 species
GAUCCUGGCUUAGGAUGAACGCUAGCGGCAGGCUUAACACAUGCAAGUCGAGGGGCAUCGGGAGUAGCAAUACUUGCCGGCGACCGGCGCAAGGGUGCGUAACGCGUGAGCAACAUGCCCGUAUCAGGGGGAUAAUCCAUGGAAACGUGGUCUAAUACCCCAUAGUAAUUAUGUAAGGCAUCUUAUAUAAUUUAAAGCUUUGGUGGAUACGGAUUGGCUCGCGUGACAUUAGCUGGAUGGUAAGGUAACGGCUUACCAUGGCUACGAUGUCUAGGGGUUCUGAGAGGAAGGUCCCCCACACUGGAACUGAGACACGGUCCAGACUCCUACGGGAGGCAGCAGUGAGGAAUAUUGGACAAUGGAUGGAAAUCUGAUCCAGCCAUGCCGCGUGCAAGGAAGACGGCCCUAUGGGUUGUAAACUGCUUUUGUAUGGGAGCAAUAAGGGCUACGUGUAGUCCGAUGAGAGUACCAUACGAAUAAGCACCGGCUAACUCCGUGCCAGCCGCAGC